rnacentral:rRNA from 1 species
GACGGAGGAUGCAAGCGUUAUCCGGAAUGAUUGGGCGUAAAGGGUCCGUAGGUGGUUCAUCGUGUCUGCAGUUAAAUAGCAGGGCUCAACUCUGCGCAGGCUGUGGAAACUGGUGAACUAGAGAGCGGUAGGGGUAGCGGGAAUUCCUGGUGUAGCGGUGAAAUGCGUAGAUAUCAGGAAGAACACCGGCGGCGAAAGCGCGCUACUGGGCUGCAUCUGACACUGAGGGACGAAAGCUAGGGGAGCGAAAGGG